UCUUCUCUUGCCUGAUGUUCUGCUGGAGAGAGCCUGAGGGGUCAGGGAUGUGGCAGUUUUCCACCUUGUGCCUCUGUGUACUCACGGCUUCUGUGACUACAGACUCCACAGGAACUUUGCUGGAGCAGAAGCCAAGGUGGCGUCUGGUAGCACGUGGUCAAGCUGUGACCCUGCGCUGUAUCUUGAAGAAUUCCCAGUACCCCUGGAUGAGCUGGUACCAGCAGGAUCUCCAACAGCCACUACAGUGGCUGGUCACUCUGGGGAGUUCUGGGGACAAAGAAGUCAAAUCUCUCCCCGGUGCUGAUUAUCUGGCCACACGAGUCACCGAUACGGAGCUGAGGCUACAAGUGGCCAACAUGACCCAGGGCAGAACCUUGUACUGCACCUGCAGUAGAGACACAGUGGUAGGCUCUGCUGGCGCAUUGGAACAAAAACCACAUACACAGACUGCCCUGCCUUCCAGCCCUUGCUCCUCUGUGAGCCUUUCCCAGCCUUCUUCCUUUCUACCCCGACUCCCUCACCCCGUUGCCCUAGCAAGAAGUGGACUCUCCCUGAUUGACCAUUUGUUCUUUUUCUGCCUGAGCCAUACAGUAGCUUAA